rnacentral:rRNA from 1 species
GACAGAGGGUGCAAACGUUGCUCGGAAUUACUGGGCGUAAAGCGCGUGUAGGCGGACAAGCAAGUCAGGUGUGAAAUCCCUGGGCUCAACCCAGGAACUGCAUUUGAAACUGCAUGUCUAGAGUGUCGGAGAGGGAAGCGGAAUUCCUGGUGUAGAGGUGAAAUUCGUAGAUAUCAGGAGGAACACCGGUGGCGAAGGCGGCUUCCUGGACGAUUACUGACGCUGAGACGCGAAAGCGUGGGGAGCAAACAGG